rnacentral:rRNA from 1 species
AUUGAACGCUGGCGGCAUGCCUUACACAUGCAAGUCGAACGGCAGCAUGGAGAGCUUGCUCUCUGAUGGCGAGUGGCGAACGGGUGAGUAAAGCAUCGGAACGUACCGUGUAGUGGGGGAUAACGUAGCGAAAGUUACGCUAAUACCGCAUACGCACUGAGGUGGAAAGCAGGGGAUCGCAAGACCUUGCGCUAUACGAGCGGCCGAUGUCAGAUUAGCUAGUUGGUAGGGUAAAGGCCUACCAAGGCGACGAUCUGUAGCGGGUCUGAGAGGAUGAUCAGCCACACUGGGACUGAGACACGGCCCAGACUCCUACGGGAGGUAACAGUGGGGAAUUUUGGACAAUGGGGGCAACCCUGAUCCAGCCAUGCCGCGUGAGUGAAGAAGGCCUUCGGGUUGUAAAGCUCUUUCGGCCGGGAAGAAAUCGCACAGGCUAAUACUCUGUGUGGAUGACGGUACCGGCAUAAGAAGCACCGGCUAACUACGUGCCAGCCGCCGCCGUAA